UGGGGAAUUUUGCACAAUGGGGGAAACCCUGAUGCAGCGACGCCGCGUGAUUUAGAAGGCCUUCGGGUUGUAAAAAUCUUUUGUAUGGGAAGAAAAUGACAGUACCAUACGAAUAAGGACCGGCUAAUUACGUGCCAGCAGCCGCGGUAAUACGUAAGGUCCGAGCGUUGUCCGGAAUCAUUGGGCGUAAAGGGUACGUAGGCGGAUAAGCAAGUUAGAAGUGAAAUCCUAUAGCUUAACUAUAGUAAGCUUUUAAAACUGCUCAUCUUGAGGUAUGGAAGGGAAAGUGGAAUUCCUAGUGUAGCGGUGAAAUGCGCAGAUAUUAGGAGGAAUACCGGUGGCGAAGGCGACUUUCUGGCCAUAAACUGACGCUGAGGUACGAAAGCGUGGGUAGCAAACAGG
rnacentral:rRNA from 1 species